AUCAACACUGACUCGACCUAGGAUAUGCGUGUUGCGACGAACCUAUCAAACAUGGAAAAAUAAUGGUUAAAACGUUCAACCACACAUGCACAUUGCGUCGUAUUAACUCGAAAUUAGAACUAUACGUAAAACGAAAAUUUGCGAAAGUUCAAGUAUAAGUGAGAAAAGUUGUGAAGUUCAAUUGCAAAUAAUGAAAAGUUUUUGGUUAAAGUUAAUAAAACAAAUUAUGUAGGGUUAAAAUUGUAAAAGAUAAAAAUAUUUGGGUAAAAAGUAAAAAAUCAACUUUUUUUUUUGAAAACACCCAAAGCAAAAUGUAUAAGUGAUGAUGCACAACAAAGUUGUAAACUUAUAUAUGGAAUAAUAAGCGAGAUGAAUAAUAUAAUGUCUACAUAAAAAUAUGCAAUUGGAGUAAUCUCUUUUCUAAACCCUAGACACUAGAUAUUUUUAUAUGAAUUUUGGGCUUUUGAGCUUCUUCAUGACGGGUAGGAUCCAAAAACAUAGUAAUUUUGAGAGGACAAUAAUUAAACCCUAGUAACCACAACAAAGAAAUGGAGGGCCCAAACUCUAACUUUUAUCUUUUUAAACUAUUGGGCCGGCCUAGAGUAAACAUAAAAAGCCCACUUCAAACAUAACUUUUCCUCACCUGGAAUCCAAUGUAACCCUAAUUAACCAUGGCGGCUGAAACCCUCUUUUCUUCCUUCCUAUAAUAAGACGCCCCUGAAGCUACAUAACUCACAACCAAAUCACUAGAUCUAGAUCAGAAAACAACUACUCUCGGUUUAACCGGUCUGUUGGGAGUCUGUUGAGCCGGUGCCCAUAUUUGGUACGAGUGGGAUAGGUUUUAAAAAGUUAGUUUGUUGUUGCUAACAUGGAUGUGAAUAUUGACUUUUUUUUUGGAAUUUUUGUUUAUUUUUUGUUUAUGAGCUUGAUUGAAUUGACAACAUGGAAAAUCACCAUUGAUUGCAAAUUCGUUAACCAAGUCAAUUUCUAGCAAAAUAGUUGUUAGUAUGGACAUGCUCAUUACUAGUGUUGUAAACUAACCGAAUGUUAAGCGAACAAGCUGUGAACCAUUCGACAGGAAGUUCGUCUAUGUUCGUUCGUUUAGUAAAUGAACAAACAUGAACAAUAAAUUCCGUUCGAUAAGUUAAACAAACGAACAUGAAUAGAGGUUCGUUUGUUUGUUUAUGUUCGUGAAAGUUUGAUAAGUUAUUAAUUUAUGUUCACUCGUUUAUGUUAUUUGUGUUCGUUCAUUUAAAGGUUAUUUUUUAUGUUAUAUUUUUUUUUAUUUUGGUUUUAGUUUUUAAAAAUUUGAAACCAUAGUUAAUACACUAUUUACACUAUAAGCCUCUACCAACAUCUUCUAUUUGACCAUUUUAAUUUCAAUUUGUGUUGAAGCUUGACAAGCUUCUUAAUUUUUGUGUUCAUUAUGUUUAUGAUAAUUAUGUUGACUAUGUUCGGAUAGUUAUGUUAAGUAAUAUUAUAUUUUUGGUGGUUUCUCCUCUGAUAAAAAAUGUAAAUUUUAUAUUAAUUUAAAUGAAUAUAACGUCUGUUUGUUAAUUGAUUAUUUAUGUUCAUCAACAUUUAUUUGUGUUCGUUUGCAUUCAGUCAGUGUUUGUGAACAUGUUCAUUUCCUUAAUGAACGAACACGAACAAGAAAUCUUGUUUGGGAAGCAUUCGUGAACCUUAUUUGGACAUAAUUAUUCCUUAGUGAACAAACACGAACAAAGCCUUGUCCGUAUUAGUUCGGUUCGUUUACAACCCCUACUCAUUACCUUUAUUGUUUUAUAUCUCUCAAAAAUGGAAGGGCUGAAUAGGUAGAGGAUUUUUAUAUGGAAAUUAAUAUAAUACUAAUUUACAUGAAAUUUUAACUAAUGUAUUUAUUUCCUAAUAACACCUAUGGUGGUACUCAUCUUACAAUGCCAAUUAAUAUGCUGCAUGACUCAUUUUGCUUAAAUUCUUUUGAUGGGAUAUUAUUUUGGGUUUCAGUUUCUUGAGCCAAUUUGAAUUUAUGUGUGUAUUUGUACCAUGUUGGUUUUGUGGUUUGAUAAACUCACAUAUUAACAACAGAGGUUCAGCUUCUUUAGUCACUCUUCAUCAUAGCAAAGGUAUAGAAAACUUGGAGCUACAUCAGCAUAUGUUUAUUAGCUAUAAAGCUAUUAAGUUGUUUAAAGCAUAGUUAUCAAUAGCGUCUAUGGCGGCCGUUAUAGCGAAUAGUGUGGCGUGGCGGUCAUAUGCCGCCACAAGGUAGUUUGUGUAUUUAAACAUUUAACCCCCUCUAUCUUUAGUAGUUUACAUUUGGUCCUUAAACUUUCUAAUUAAACAUAAAAAGUAUUAAAUUAACAUUAUAUACACAUAUAUAAAUUAUGGAUAGCUAUAUUUUAUUUUUUAAAUUAUCUACUACCUUAUCGCUAACGAUAACUAUGGUUUAAAGUUACAAAGAACCAAGCGUAAAGCCCUAACGCUCACCUUACACUUGAUAUUGGAAAAAACUAAUGUUUGGACUCGUAGUUUAUACAGUCAAACAGCUCUUAUUUAGAACAUCCUAAAAUCAAUCGAGAAAAACUACUACAUGUGUAUGCACUUCUUUAAAAAAAGAUACAAGAGUGACCCGCUGUGCUUAACCGAGUAUUUGUUAAUCUCGUCAAAUUAAUUGCUAAAGUUUUGUGCAAAGCAUGUUUCUCUAUGUGCUCAUUGUAGGUUAAAGAUCUAUUAUGUGGCUUCAAACAAACCAGUGAACAGUCUUUUUGUAAGCUGACUACAGCUUUGACCUUGUUUUAGCUAUUAGCUAUUAUAACACGACGGUGUGGGAUGUUCGGGUGAGGGAUGUUGUUGAGAUGGGUGUGGCAUUAGAGGAGUACACAUUGGUGGUUCUGCUGGGUGAUACCAGUAAUAGAUUUGAUCGAUCAGUUGGUAAAUACCAUGGUUCUGGCAGGGGUCCAACUUAUAGUCGCCAAGGAGAUAGAAAGCAGGAUAAGCGGCAUAUGUUUACAAAAGAUUCUUUAUAUAUAAUGUACUCCCUAACUUCACAAAGAAUUUGUAAUUAGAGGAAAAUUUUGAAAUGGGA